rnacentral:lncRNA from 1 species
GGUUUGGGAUGGGGCAGGAUGGGGAUGGUGUGGGGUUUGGGGUGCUGUGGGGUUUGGUAUAUUUCGGGUUUGGUAUGUUGUGGGGUUUGGGGUGCUGCAGGAUGGGGAUGCUCUGGGAUUUGGGAUGCUGCAGGAUGGGGAUGCUGUGGGGUUUGGGAUGGUACGGGGUUUGGGAUGCUGUGGGGUUUGGAGUGCUGUGGGGUUGGGGAUUGGGCAGGGUUUGGGGUGCUGCGGGGUUUGGGGUGCUGCGGGGUUUGGGAUGCUGCAGGAUGGGGAUGCUGUGGGGUUUGGGAUGCUGUGGGGUUUGGGGUGCUGCGGGGUUUGGAAGGAUGGGGAUGGGAUGGGGUUUGGGAUGGGGCGGGGUUUGGGGUGCUGUGGGGUUUGGGAUGCUGCAGGGUUUAGGGUGCUGUGGGGUGGGGAAUGCUGUGGGGUUGGGGAAGAUGAGGAGUUUAGGAUGCUGUGGGUUUUGGGAUGUUUCGGGAUUUGGGAUGCUGCAGGAUGGGGAUGCUGUGGGGUUUGGGAUGUUUCAUGGUUUGGGAUGCUGUGGGGUUUGGGAUGCUGCGGGGUUUGGGGUGUUUCAGGGUUUGGGAUGCUGCGGGGUUGGCGAUGUCCCAACCUCCAGGAUGCCCCAAAUACGGGGAGGGCACAACUUUGGGGUCGAGCUGUGGGGCGGCAGCUCCAGCACCGCUCCCCCGGGGGCUGGAUGGCCCUGCGCCCCUCUCGAGCCACAUUUUGGGGAGAAAAGUGCCAAAACGCAUCAUUUUGUGUGCAGCACUACAGGGUGUGUGGGGGGGAACCCUGGGGGCUGGGUACCCCAACGGGACCUUUUGGGGUUUUCUAUGGGGCCGAAACAGGCUCAGCUUCUUCUGGAGCCAUUUCUGGGGAUAAAACGGGACAAUUUGGGGCAUUUUGGGACCCCCCAGACCCCAAAUUUACAGAACGGUGCCUGGACACCACCCAAACCCCCCCACGGAUGGGACACGCCCGGUGCCGUGCCCCCUCCCCAAAUUUUGGGCUCCCUCUCUGCCUUUUACGCCUCCGUUAAUUAGAUAAUUAAUCUUAAUUGGGUCUUUUUAUUUUUUUAUUGCUCGCUGCCCCCCCCCAGUUUUUUUUCCCCGCGCCGUUUCCGCGCCUUCGGUGCCUGCGUCCCAGCUGCCAGGCGAUAUUUUCCUAAUAGAGUGUUUAAAAAGGAAAAUAAAAAUAAUAAAAUAAAAUAAAAAAUAUAAAAA